rnacentral:rRNA from 1 species
GUCCUACGGGGCGCAGCAGUGGAGAAUAUUGCACAAUGGGGGAAGCCCUGAUGCAGCAACGCCGCGUGAAGGAAGACGGUUUUCGGAUUGUAAACUUCUGUUCUUAGUGAAGAAGAAUGACGGUAGCUAAGGAGCAAGCCACGGCUAACUACGUGCCAGCAGCCGCGGUAAUACGUAGGUGGCAAGCGUUGUCCGGAAUUACUGGGUGUAAAGGGAGCGUAGACGGCAAUGCAAGUCCGGAGUGGAAUGCGGCAGCUCAACUGCCGAACUGCUCUGGAAACUGUAUGGCUUGAGUGCAGGAGGGG